rnacentral:rRNA from 1 species
AGAGUUUGAUCCUGGCUCAGGACGAACGCUGGCGGCGUGCUUAACACAUGCAAGUCGAGCGGUAAGGCCCUUUCGGGGGUACACGAGCGGCGAACGGGUGAGUAACACGUGGGUGACCUGCCCUUAGCUCUGGGAUAAGCCUGGGAAACUGGGUCUAAUACCGGAUAUGACCUCAUGACGCAUGUUGUGGGGUGGAAAGCCUUGUGCGGCUAGGGAUGGGCCCGCGGCCUAUCAGCUUGUUGGUGGGGUGAUGGCCUACCAAGGCGACGACGGGUAGCCGGCCUGAGAGGGCGACCGGCCACACUGGGACUGAGACACGGCCCAGACUCCUACGGGAGGCAGCAGUGGGGAAUCUUGCGCAAUGGGCGAAAGCCUGACGCAGCGACGCCGCGUGAGGGAUGACGGCCUUCGGGUUGUAAA